rnacentral:rRNA from 1 species
GGUGCUGCAUGGCUGUCGUCAGCUCGUGUCGUGAGAUGUUGGGUUAAGUCCCGCAACGAGCGCAACCCUUGUCAUUAGUUGCUACGAAAGGGCACUCUAAUGAAACUGCCGGUGACAAACCGGAGGAAGGUGGGGAUGACGUCCAGUCCUCAUGGCCCUUAUGGGUAGGGCUUCACACGUCAUACAAUGGUAGGUACAGAGGGCCGCCAACCCGCGAGGGGGAGCUAAUCCCACAAAGUGUAUCGUACUCCGGAUUGAUGUCUGCAACUCGACUGCCUGAAGUUGGAAUCGCUAGUAAUCGCGGAUCAACAUGUCGCGGUGAAUACGUUCCCGGCCCUUGUA